rnacentral:rRNA from 1 species
CCCGACUGCUAUCGGGGUGAGGCUAAGCCAUGGGAGUCGCGCGCCCCGCCGCCGCGGGGCGCGGCGCACGGCUGAGUAACACGUGGCUAACCUGCCCUCGGGACGGGGAUAACCCCGGGAAACUGGGGCUAAUCCCCGAUAGGCGAGGGGGCCUGGAAGGGUCCCUCGCCGAAAGGGACCUCAGGGGGUUAUCGCCUGGGGUCCGCCCGAGGAUGGGGCCACGGCCCAUCAUGGUAGUUGGCGGGGUAAUGGCCCGCCAAGCCGACGACGGGUAGGGGCCGUGGGAGCGGGAGCCCCCAGAUGGGCCCUGAGACAAGGGCCCAGGCCCUACGGGGCGCACCAGGCGCGAAACCUCCGCAAUGCGGGAAACCGUGACGGGGUCACCCCGAGUGCCCCCGUAAGGGGGCUUUUCCCCGCUGCAAGGAGGCGGGGGAAUAAGCGGGGGGCAAGUCUGGUGUCAGCCGCCGCGGUAAUACCAGCCCCGCGAGUGGUCGGAACUCUUGCUGGGCCUAAAGCGCCCGUAGCCGGCCCGGUAAGUCCCUCCUUAAAGCCCCGGGCUCAACCCGGGGAGCGGGGGGAUACUGCCGGGCUAGGGGGCGGGAGAGGCCGGGGGUACCCCAGGGGUAGGGGCGAAAUCCGAUAAUCCCUGGG